rnacentral:lncRNA from 1 species
UGGGCCCACACAGAAAAAAUGUAUGUGAUGCGGUAAGUGUAGUUUGGAUUGUGUCGUUCACAUAGUUGUGGCUGUUACGGGGCUAAAUGGGCCACACGAGUGUGUGGGCCCACUUGGGCCGAGAGUGGACCUUAGCCCAUUUACACCGUUAUGUCUGUUUAGGUUACUUAAGUAGCUCGAGGCGACGAUGGACAAUCGGUUGGGUUGUUAAGACCCCAGAUUGUAAAAUAACCGAAAUACCCUUUUAGGGUAAAAUGAC